rnacentral:rRNA from 1 species
AGGACGAACGCUGGCGGCGUGCCUAACACAUGCAAGUCGAACGGAAUUAAGUUAACACCGAACACUUGUUGGUGGAGACGCCUUACCGAGUGGUGGGUGUUGAGCUUAAUUUAGUGGCGGACGGGUGAGUAACGCGUGAGUAACCUGCCUUUCAGAGGGGGAUAACGUCUGGAAACGGACGCUAAUACCGCAUGACAUAUUUGGGCUGCAUGGUCUGAAUAUCAAAGGAGCAAUCCGCUGAAAGAUGGACUCGCGUCCGAUUAGCUAGUUGGUGAGAUAAAGGCCCACCAAGGCGACGAUCGGUAGCCGGACUGAGAGGUUGAACGGCCACAUUGGGACUGAGACACGGCCCAGACUCCUACGGGAGGCAGCAGUGGGGGAUAUUGCACAAUGGAGGAAACUCUGAUGCAGCAACGCCGCGUGAGGGAAGACGGUUUUCGGAUUGUAAACCUCUGUCCUUGGUGACGAAACAAAUGACGGUAGCCAAGGAGGAAGCUCCGGCUAACUACGUGCCAGCAGCCGC